rnacentral:rRNA from 1 species
GAACGAACGCUGGCGGCGCGUCUUAAGCAUGCAAGUCGAACGGCAAGGCAGGUGCUUGCACCUGCCCUAGAGUGGCGGACUGGUGAGUAACACGUGGGUGACAUGCCUUUAGUUGGGGAUAGCUACUAGAAAUAGUAGAUAAUACCGAAUGUGAUCAAUAUUUAUAGAUGAUGUUGAGGAAAGGAGCUAAGGCUUCGCUAAAAGAUUGGCCCGCGGCCCAUUAGCUAGUUGGUAGGGUAAAGGCUUACCAAGGCGAUGAUGGGUAUCCGGCCUGAGAGGGUGAUCGGACACAUUGGGACUGAGAUACGGCCCAGACUCCUACGGGAGGCAGCAGCUAAGAAUAUUCCACAAUGGACGAAAGUCUGAUGGAGCGACGCCGCGUGGAUGAUGAAGGCCCGAAAGGUUGUAAAAUCCUUUUACACUGGAGGAAUAAGCAGAGUAGGGAAUGACUCUGUGAUGACUGUACAGUUUGAAUAAGCAACGGCUAAUUACGUGCCAGCAGCCGC